rnacentral:rRNA from 1 species
UACGAAGGGGGCUAGCGUUGUUCGGAAUGACUGGGCGUAAAGGGCGUGUAGGCGGCUUAGUCAGUCAGAUGUGAAAUUCCCGGGCUUAACCUGGGGGCUGCAUUUGAUACGUCUAGGCUUGAGUGAGGAAGAGGGUUGUGGAAUUCCCAGUGUAGAGGUGAAAUUCGUAGAUAUUGGGAAGAACACCGGUGGCGAAGGCGGCAACCUGGGCCUUUACUGACGCUGAGGCGCGAAAGCGUGGGGAGCAAACAGG